rnacentral:rRNA from 1 species
GUGUCAGCAGCCGCGGUAAUACGAAUGGGGCAAGCGUUGUUCGGAUUUACUGGGCGUAAAGCGGGCGUAGGCGGCCGGCUAAGUCGGAUGUGAAAUCCCGGGGCUCAACUCCGGAACUGCAUUCGAUACUGGUCGGCUAGAGUUCGAGAGGGGGAUGCGGAAUUCCGCGUGUAGCAGUGAAAUGCGUAGAUAUGCGGAGGAACACCUGAGGCGAAGGCGGCAUCCUGGAUCGACACUGACGCUGAGGCCCGAAAGCGUGGGGAGCAAACAGGAUUAGAUACCCGGGUAGUCCUGGCCGUAAACGAUGGAUGCUAGAGGUGGGCGGGGAGACCCGUCCGUGUCGCAAGCUAACGCGUUAAGCAUCCCGCCUGGGGAGUACGGCCGCAAGGUUGAAACUCAAAUGAAUUGACGGGG